GGAGAGGUCGCAUAGUGGCCUAGUGCGCUCGCUUGGAAAGCGGGUAUACCGCAAGGUAUCGAGGGUUCGAAUCCCUCCCUCUCCG
rnacentral:tRNA from 6 species